rnacentral:rRNA from 1 species
AACGAACGCUGGCGGCGUGCCUAACACAUGCAAGUCGAGCGCGAAAGGAGCAAUCCGAGUAGAGCGGCGCACGGGUGCGUAACACGUGGAUAGUCUGCCUCAGGGUUGAGGAUAACCUUCCGAAAGGUUGGCUAAUACUCGGUAAGCUUACGGUGACUUUGGUCGCUGUGAGAAAACUAGACCUCUAUUUAUAAGUUUAGGCCCAGAGAUGAGUCCGCGGCCCAUCAGCUAGUUGGCGGGGUAACGGCCCACCAAGGCAACGACGGGUAGCUGGUCUGAGAGGACGACCAGCCAAACUGGAACUGAGAAACGGUCCAGACUCCUACGGGAGGCAGCAGUGGGGAAUUUUCCACAAUGGGCGAAAGCCUGAUGGAGCAACGCCGCGUGUGUGAUGAAGGUCUUCGGAUCGUAAAGCACUUUCGACUGGGACGAAAAACCUUUGGCUAACAUCCAGGGGCCUGACGGUACCAGGAGAAGAAGCACCGGCUAACUCUGUGCCAGCAGCCGCCGUAAAAC